rnacentral:lncRNA from 1 species
CUCACAUUCUGCAGCGUAAGGUGCGACCCAUCAUGGUUUCUGUAUGUGUUUUUCUAGCAAGACAAAUGCCGGGAACUGAUUGGCUUGUGUUUUAUCUCGCAUUGCCUUGGGAAAUGAGCCUACUGUGUGGUCUAAGAUACAGGAAAAGAAAUGAUGGGAAACCAGGAGAGAAGGGGAUGGAGAACUCACUUGGCUGGAUUUCAGGUGUCUGGCCCCUCCAGGAGCCCUUUAUGUUGAUUAUUUCAAGACAGGUUUGAAAGACAUAUUUCUAGAAUAUGAAUGAUAUCUCCAUUUCACAGCUAGAGACUAAGGCUUGAGAAUUUACAUGCCCACGAUCCUUCGGGGAUUAAACAAGGAAAAUGAGCCUGAUUCACCCUUCUCCAGAAUGUGUGUUAGUUGGCCAUGAGCAACCAUCCAUAAUGUAUUCUAUAAAUUGAGGAACCAGCUGAUGAUGUUCAAGGAUGUUUUUUAAUUAG